GGAUGAUACAGAGAUUAGCAGAGCCCCUGCAUAAGGAUGACAUGCAAAUUUGUGAGGUGUUCCUCAUUAAA
rnacentral:snRNA from 1 species